rnacentral:rRNA from 1 species
AUUGAACGCUGGCGGUAGGCCUAACACAUGCAAGUCGAACGAGUGGCGGACGGGUGAGGAAUACAUCGGAAUCUACCCUGUCGAGGGGGAUAACGUAGGGAAACUUUCGCUAAUACCGCAUACGAUCGAAUGUGCCGAUGUCGGAUUAGCUUGUUGGUGGGGUAACGGCCCACCAAGGCGACGAUCCGUAGCUGGUCUGAGAGGAUGAUCAGCCACACUGGAACUGAGACACGGUCCAGACUCCUACGGGAGGCAGCAGUGGGGAAUAUUGGACAAUGGGCGCAAGCCUGAUGCAGCCAUGCCGCGUGUAUGAAGAAGGCCUUCGGGUUGUAAAGCCCUUUUGGUGGGGAGGCGGUACCCGAAGAAGAAGCACCGGCUAACUUCGUGCCAGCAGCCGCGGUAAUUC